rnacentral:rRNA from 1 species
UACGUAGGGUGCGAGCGUUGUCCGGAAUUAUUGGGCGUAAAGAGCUCGUAGGCGGCCUGCCAAGCGUGUGGUGAAAGCCCGGGGCUCAACCCCGGGUCGGCCGUGCGGACUGGCGUGCUCGAGCACUGUAGGGGCGGGUGGAAUUCCGGGUGUAGCGGUGGAAUGCGUAGAGAUCCGGAAGAACACCGGUGGCGAAGGCGGCCCGCUGGGCAGGAAGGCUCGCAAGAGCCGGCUGACGCUGAGGCGCGACAGCGUGGGGAGCAAACAGG